AGUGAACGCUGGCGGUAGGCCUAACACAUGCAAGUCGAACGGCAGCACAGAGGAGCUUGCUCCUUGGGUGGCGAGUGGCGGACGGGUGAGGAAUACAUCGGAAUCUACUCUGUCGUGGGGGAUAACGUAGGGAAACUUACGCUAAUACCGCAUACGACCUACGGGUGAAAGCAGGGGACCUUCGGGCCUUGCGCGAUUGAAUGAGCCGAUGUCGGAUUAGCUAGUUGGCGGGGUAAAGGCCCACCAAGGCGACGAUCCGUAGCUGGUCUGAGAGGAUGAUCGGCCACACUAGAACUGAGACACGGUCCAGACUCCUACGGGAGGCAGCAGUGGGGAAUAUUGGACAAUGGGCGCAAGCCUGAUCCAGCCAUACCGCGUGGGUGAAGAAGGCCUUCGGGUUGUAAAGCCCUUUUGUUGGGAAAGAAAUCCAGCUGGUUAAUACCCGGUUGGGAUGACGGUACCCAAAGAAUAAGCACCGGCUAACUACGUGCCAGCCGCCGCAGUAA
rnacentral:rRNA from 1 species